UUCGAUGCAACGCGAAGAACCUUACCUGGGUUGGAAACCCCUGGAAUCCUGCAGAGAUGUGGGAGUGCUCUUUUAGAGAAUCAGGUGUCCAGGUGCUGCAUGGUUGUCGUCAGCUCGUGUCGUGAGAUGUUGGGUUAAGUCCCGCAACGAGCGCAACCCCUGUUGUUAGUUGCCAGCGAUUCGGUCGGGCACUCUAACGAGACUGCCGGUGGUAAGCCGGAGGAAGGUGGGGAUGACGUCAAAUCCUCAUGGCCCUUAUGCCCAGGGCUACACACGUACUACAAUGGCAGGUACAGAGGGCUGCGAAGCCGCGAGGUGGAGCGAAUCCCAGAAAACCUGUCUCAGUCCGGAUUGAAGUCUGCAACUCGACUUCAUGAAGGCGGAAUCGCUAGUAACCGCGAAUCAGCAGGUCGCGGUGAAUACGUUCCCGGGCCUU
rnacentral:rRNA from 1 species